CAAAAACAUGUCUGUGUGAAAUUUAUACAUAGUCUGGCCUGCCCACUGGGGUUCUGAAGGGCCGCGGUAUACUGACCGUGCGAAGGUAGCAUAAUCAAUAGUUCUUUAAUUGAGGACUGGAAUGAAGGGUCGGACGAGAAGUUAGCUGUCUCCAAGACAAGUCUUGAAGUUUACUUUUAAGUGAAAAGGCUUAAAUGAGAUAAAGGGACGAUAAGACCCUAUAAAACUUUACAGUUUAUGUCUAGAAUUUGUUUAAAUUUGCGUGUAAAUCUGUUUUGGUAAAGCUGUUUUAUUGGGGCGAUAAGAAUAUAAUCGAUUAACUGUUCUUAGUUAUGAAAAUAGGUAUAAUUAGUUAAUUUGAUCCUUUAAUAAGGAUUAGAAGAUUAAGUUACUUUAGGGAUAACAGCGUAAUUUCUCUUGAGAGUUCUAAUCGACAGAGUUAGUUGCGACCUCGAUGUUGAAUUAAGGUGUUAGCUAGGCGCAGAAGCUUAGAUAGUAGGUCUGUUCGACCUUUAAAACCUUACGUGAUUUGAGUUCAAACCGGUGUAAGCCAGGUUG
rnacentral:rRNA from 1 species